rnacentral:tRNA from 1 species
GGGAGGAUGGCCGAGCGGUUAUGGCGUGUGACUCAAGUUCUCAUGGGGAAACCCGCGUGGGUUCGAGUCCCACUCCUCUCA